GUGUCUAUCAUCAGAGUUAGUCUCAGUCCAUCAGGACAAGGACUGGUCUUUAUUCACAUGUAAGAAGCAUUCCAAGGAUCAUAAGUGUGCUGGAAUAGCUAAGCAUCAUGUAACUAGCUAUUAAUAGUAACGUCCAGUAUGAAGUAAAACACUUUCAUCGUUACAUGAUUUUUAUGUUUUUAUUCAUGUUAAAAAUUGAUGUUAAUAACAAUAAUUAUCUUUGUUAUCGUC